rnacentral:rRNA from 1 species
UACGUAGGGUGCAAGCGUUUGUCCGGAAUUAUUGGGCGUAAAGAGCUCGUAGGCGGUCUGUCGCGUCUGCUGUGAAAACUCAGGGCUUAACCCUGAGCUUGCAGUGGGUACGGGCAGACUAGAGUGCGGUAGGGGAGACUGGAAUUCCUGGUGUAGCGGUGAAAUGCGCAGAUAUCAGGAGGAACACCGGUGGCGAAGGCGGGGUCUC